rnacentral:rRNA from 1 species
UACGAAGGGGGCUAGCGUUGCUCGGAAUCACUGGGCGUAAAGCGCACGUAGGCGGAUUGUUAAGUCAGGGGUGAAAUCCUGGAGCUCAACUCCAGAACUGCCUUUGAUACUGGCGAUCUCGAGUCCGGGAGAGGUGAGUGGAACUGCGAGUGUAGAGGUGAAAUUCGUAGAUAUUCGCAAGAACGCCAGUGGCGAAGGCGGCUCACUGGCCCGGUACUGACGCUGAGGUGCGAAAAGC